UAUGCCAGGUAUAGGCAAGCUCCAGCCCUCCAGAUGUUUGGGACUACAAUUCCCAUACUCCCUGACCACUGGUCCUGUUAGCUAGGGAUGAUAGGAGUUGUAGUCCCAAACAACUGGAGGGCCGGAGUUUGCCUAUGCCUGGUCUA
rnacentral:miRNA from 1 species